UGGGGAAUAUUGGACAAUGGGCGCAAGCCUGAUCCAGCAAUUCCGCGUGGGUGAAGAAGGUCUUCGGAUUGUAAAGCCCUUUCGUUGGGGACGCGGUACCCAAAGAAGAAGCCCCGGCUAACUUCGUGCCAGCAGCCGCGGUAAUACGAAGGGGGCUAGCGUUGCUCGGAAUGACUGGGCGUAAAGGGCGCGUAGGCGGCACAACUCGUCAGGCGUGAAAUUCCUGGGCUUAACCUGGGGGCUGCGUUUGAUACGGUUGGGCUAGAGGAUGGAAGAGGCUCGUGGAAUUCCCAGUGUAGAGGUGAAAUUCGUAGAUAUUGGGAAGAACACCGGUGGCGAAGGCGGCGAGCUGGUCCAUUACUGACGCUGAGGCGCGAAAGCGUGGGGAGCAAACAGGAUUAGAUACCCGGGUAGU
rnacentral:rRNA from 1 species